rnacentral:snRNA from 1 species
AUCGCUUCUCAGCCUUUUGGCUAAGAUCAAGUGUAGUAUCUUCAUGCAUGUAUCUUACAUAGUUUAGAUAAUACCUAAU